UACGUAGGGUGCGAGCGUUGUCCGGAAUUAUUGGGCGUAAAGCGCACGUAGGCGGACUAUUAAGUCAGGGGUGAAAUCCCGGGGCUCAACCCCGGAACUGCCUUUGAUACUGGUAGUCUCGAGUCCGGAAGAGGUGAGUGGAAUUCCGAGUGUAGAGGUGAAAUUCGUAGAUAUUCGGAGGAACACCAGUGGCGAAGGCGGCUCACUGGUCCGGUACUGACGCUGAGGUGCGAAAGCGUGGGGAGCAAACAGG
rnacentral:rRNA from 1 species